rnacentral:lncRNA from 1 species
UCUCACAAUGCUUUUUUUAGGCUACGAUCUCACGAUGCAAUUGUCACUCUUAUGAUACUUUGAUAAACAGAUUCAAAUGAUUUAAUUGACUACAAUGGUUGGUCAUCUUUGAUUUUUUAUUUACUAGAAAUUAUAACUUUAUGUGCAGUACGUACGUAGAAUCCAAGCAUCAGCCUCCUUGUAAGCACAACAAUGUAGAUGAAAAACAGAAAAACUCUGAUGAAUGUUCUGUUUCCUUGUAAUAAUCCGAUACACCAUGAACGUGAGAAACAGACGUUUCUUAAAGACGACUGACUAAAACAGUGGAGGUUUGAUAGCAAGGCCAUGAACAAAACAACUGCGAGUUGUUUUAUAGCGCACACCUUAACUAAUUAUCUUUUCAGAGAGCAGGGAAGCUUUGCCAAAUCUGUGUUAUUACCCCAGCAUCUUCAGUUCAUGAAUACGUACCCAGUCGUCUCAACUUGCAGCGAAGUCACAGACCACGAGUCUAACAACGGCUACAUUUGGCACUUUGUGACCUGCUAAAUUGCGAAAUAAUCCAUCACUGCCUUGAGUAUUUAAUAACAUAUAUAUACAGCAGGAUGGUCGAUGGUUCAGCUCAGAUUAAAAUUAUUUACUUACCCUCUGCAUAAUGGUUGAUUGUCUUGUUCUAUAAGCAGGGAAACUUGGGGUCCAAGUUCCAGGCUUCCAACCCAUCGGUGGUUUCUUGGCAUGCAGGGAAACUUGUGUUCCAAGUUCUAGGCUUCCAACCAAUCGGUGGUUUUCUGAACUUAAUAUCUCAUUGGCAUGCUGCACUGAUGUAGUGUCAUAUGUCAACAAGCUUUAAUUAAAAAAGUGUCUGUGGAUGGAAGUUUCAGGGACACUACAUCCAAAUUCAGUAUUAAUUUAUCCAUGUGGUAUACCAUCAGAAUGGGACUUCUCAGCUAUAUAACAUCAUUGAACGCUGGAGCACCUCCUACUUCUGUGCAUCCAUUUGUUCAAGACGUACGAGCUUGUUAAGUUCUACCUUUAUUUGUUGUAGAAUAAGUAACAGAGAAAUGGAACCGCAGGAAGGAAGGAAAGGAAUACCAUCUCUGCUGUCCUCACAGGGGGAGUGCAUCGCCACCAACAUCACGCAGGUGCCUACUUUCUUUGUAUAUAGUCACUAUUCCUUUACUGUAAAAAGCUUGUUAUCUUUAAUUUGCAAGUUUAUUCUAUGCCUUCCAGCUCAUUGGUUGGACACCACUGAUAGAACUGAGAAACAUCGCUGAGAAAGAUGGCAUAGGUGCUCGGCUGAUUGGGAAGAUUGAGCCAUACCAACCCCUUUCCUCUGUGAAGGACCGGAGUGCUCUCAGGUGGCUGGUCUUUUUUAGUUUCCUUCCCAGGAAGAAAUUCUUCACCUCAAAUGUACCAUACGUAACGUCAUGAGUCUCGACAACAAUAUGAAUGGAUGAACAAAUUUGCAGAUUGAUUGAAGAUGCAGAGGAGAAAGGCUUGAUCACACCUGGCAUCACAACGCUGCUGGGGGUCACGAGUGGUAAUCUCGGCAUCGGCGUGGCGUUCAUUGCUGCUCAGAAAGGAUACAAGUUCAUCGCCCUCAUGCCUGCUAAACUCUCGCUUGAUAAGCAGAUACUGAUGCGAUACCUUGGCGUAGAAGUGGUAUUAGUUGGUAAGGACCUGAGGUACCAUGACCCUCAUAUCACGUGCCAGAUGGUAACAUGCUUGUCUCCUGCAGAUGCUGUACAGCAUGGAUUCAAAGCUUUACUUGAUAGGGUAGAACAGAUGAAGAAGGAUGUGGAAGAUGUGUAUGUUCUAGAUCAAUUCACCAAUCCUGCAAAUCCCGAUGCCCACUUCAGAUGGACAGGUAAGUGGUAACACAGUCUAUUUGAACUAAACUGGAUGCAGUAGCAGUAGCGUUUGAGUAACUUUAGAUUGUUUGACUAUAAGGCCCAAAACUCAGUCGAAGACUAUGAACUGACUAACUUAUAAGAUGUUGAAAUAAAUUGAUGGAUGAUAUGCAAUAAAUGUUGCUAUGUGAUGUUGGCCUCUGCAGGAUCACACUUCCAUGCAACGUUUUUACUCUUUAUUUUUAUUUUAUUUUUGAGAUUCCUGACUAAAAAAUGAACCUCAGCACUAAUGCAUCGAACUAAAUAUGUCCUUAGGACCUGAGAUAUGGAAAGAUACAGCAGGCAAAGUGGACAUAUUUAUAGCUGCUUCAGGUUCAGGAGGCACCAUCACAGGCGUGGGGAGGUAUCUCAAGACGAAGAACCCAUCUGUCGGUGUGGAACGACACCUAUGGGAUCACAAGAAUCCCUACUACGGUUGCCGGGGCGCAGGGUUGCGAGAAGAGCAGGAUUAGUAGUCAGCACAAGGAUCGUUUACCCAGGUUCGGGCCGCGAAGAUGCGUAAAACCCUAGUCCUGCUUUGGUGGGUGUAUUUCAGAGAGUUCUUGAGCUCUCGAACUAGCUAUGGUGGGGUGCGUGGUUCCAAAGAGCCGAAUCCUUCUCCAGUAUGCCAUGGGCCUCCUUUUAUAGUCGAAAGGGGCUGCCACAGUGGCAUACAGGAGGUGGAAAGGCGUACAGUAUUGCGAGCUUAUCGCUCGUAUUACAGGACAAGACGCAUUUAAUGCGCCGCUGAGGUGUCCCCUAGCUUUAUCGGGGACGGGGGCGAGGCCCGUCCCGUCCGUCGUCGCUCCUCCUCGCUUCGACACGCGCCCUGGCCAGCGAUGCGUGCGGCGCCAUGUAGGCAGGCAGGCAGCUGAGGUGGCGCGGUGGUGGAGCCUUCACGAAGAUCUGCAUGCCGCCACGCAGGCGCUUGAUGAGUUGGCCUGGGAGCUGCAUGUUGCCACGCAGGUGCCUGCUCAGCUGGUUGAGCUGGCAGCUGCAUGCGAACGGCGGCGGAGACUAGGUUGGUGCGGGCCUGGCAGUGGCCCUGCUGGCGCCCUUGGCGAGGGCCUUGCCGUGGCGCGCUGUCGUCCCCGGCAAGGAUCUUGCCGGGGGUCUUGUGGUUCCCCUUGGCAAGGGUCUUGCCGAGGAUCGCCGCCUUCUAAUCCUCAUCUGAUCUUGAAUAUUCCUUGUCUUCACAAAGAUCUGCAUGCCACCACAGAGGUGCCUCCCGAGCCCUGGCCCAACAUGGUUGGCUGAGUUGGAACCCGUGGGCUCGAGGGUGGCUCACUCCGCUGGUGUGGGCGAGCCGCCCCGGCAAGGGUCUUGCCGGGGCCGCUGAGGCUGCCCCCAGCAAGGAUCUUGCCAGGGGAACCUGCUUCGCCUCUCUGCUUCUUUGCGGUCUUGAUCUUGGCGUUGCUCUGGCCGUCUUGAGCUUUCAUUUUACCUCGGUUCACCUCCCCUGCUCUGCUUGGUGUGGCCGCGGGCGCGGCUCCGACUGUCCGUGCACAGGUAAAGGGGUACAAAGGUGCGCCCCUUCUUUUGUACACCGACACCAUCUAUAAAAUUAAUAUGCGUUGAACCAGCUGAAAGUCCAGUGAUUUCAGGCAAGAAACUACUACUACUAUGAUAAAUAUAUUGAAUAAAUGAUACUAGACAUGUUUGGUUAUGCUCAUCAAUAACCUGGCUACCUUGGCUUGUAAAUUAUAGUAAGAUCUUCCCUGCCUAUGAUCUGUAGAUGGCGAGCCAGCCUUCCACAACAUCCUAGGAAUAGGGCCAGGUUUUGUCCCAGAAAUACUGGAUAGAUCCCAGAUAGAUGAAAUUGUAACAGUAACUACUCAAGAAGCUAUGGACAUGGCUAGAAGGUUGGCAAGGGAAGAAGGGUUGCUUGUUGGCAUAUCUUCAGGCGCAAAUGCAGCCGCCUGCUUAAAGGCAAGCUCUCUUUUUCAACAGUCUAGGAUCUUUUUUCAUUUGCACAUGCUACAGUGAAUGCUAUAUAAAUCCGCUUAUUAUGCAGUCCUCUGAUUAGGGUACUUCCUCAUAGGUUGCAUCAAGAGAGGAGAACAGGGGAAAGAUGAUUGUGACAAUGUUUUCCAGUGGUGCAGAGAGGUAUCUGAAUUCAGAGCUCUUUGCGCAGGUGAAGGAAGAGUGCGUCAACAUCAACAUGACCUUCUGAUGUUCAGCUCGAGGCAAUGACAGCUUAGGGAUGAUCCAGAAGUGUAGUCUUAUCAUAAUACCAGAUACUGUUUAAUAAUUAAGAGAUGAAACAAAACACACUAGUGUCAUAAGUACAAACCAUAUGGUUGCAGGUUACAGAGGAUAGCGGUAUUUUAUUGGGUGUUUGGUUUGAGGAAUCACCUCAAACACACUAUGGUUGAUCCAUCAAGAGCCCUCAUUUUGUACUAGCCUUACGCUUGUAUGAAGGAUGACAUGGUGAUAUAGACCAACCCAUUGCAUUCCUCGAAGUGAGUUAAGUUCAGAGCUAGAAUCUGAUGGUCCAUUCGGUAUUAAUUACUAAAACCAAACACCCAUACUUGUCCAUCACCAUACUGUUCAUAUAAAGAAACAUCUUUUUUCUAGUAUAAAACAAAUCAAAUUUACUGAGACAUCCGGUUAACCUUCUGGUAUUCUGCCCAACAUGUAACAACGAGGGUGACCCUAACUGUCAUAGGACCUAACAUGGUUACAUAGUUCCAACUUCCAUGGCUGGGAUCACUUGAAGCAGGGCCGUCCUCAAAAAUCAGGGGCCCUGCGCGAAAUCUGCAAUUAGGCCCUAAGUAUGGAAAAGGUAGUUGUAGCUGUGUGCAUCGCAAUGAUGCAGGGAUUAAACCUCCUUUUCGGGAAACAGAGAAAAAAUAUUUAUCAUGCUAGUAACACAAUUUUAUGCAAGAAUUAUAUCUUGCCAAAAGGCAACUCUCCGAACCCUUAAUAAUUACUCCCUCUGUAAACAAAUAUAAGACGUUUUCAGAGGGAGUACUAAACUAAUUUUUACUUGAAAAGCGGCAUCCUUCUGGCAUUUGAUUACACAGUUUCUUCCACCUAGUUGCUGCAAUUGUCAACUGGGAAUAGAGGAAAUAAUACCAGGCGAGGUCGACGGAUAUCCAUGAAAGAAUAAAGGGCAUCAUUAUUGCUAAUGUCAUUCUCUAAGAGCAACUCCAUCAGGCCCUCUAAACACAGCCCCCAAACAGUUUUGGGGGGCUAAGGCCAAAAAAUUGGCUCCAGCAGGGCCCCUACUGUUUGAAAGGAGGUUAAACCAAACAUUCAGCUUCAGCAGGGCCCCUACUGUUUGAAGGAAGAUGCCGGAUGAGACCAGGAAUAACAGCAUCUCUCAAAAAAAAAGUCCAGGAAUAACAAGAAAGCUUUUAUAUCCUGUUUGAAAGGAAUCUCGGCUAGUCUUAUGAACAGAGGAGGAAACCUUGAGUAGUGUGGCCAGGAGACUUGCUGGUCAAGCGAGUACUCCAAAAUGUGUGGAUGCCACACCCCCACCCCACCCCACCGUGGCCCCUCUUUCUUUUUUUUGACGCGGUCAACGCUGGGCUUACACCGGCCUGAACAUAUAGUAAUUAAUCACCAGCCAAUUACAAAAACAGAGUAGAGAUUGGGUAUACAACAUGGAGCCCGAGUCCCUCUCUAACCAAAGCCCCAUGAGUUCCUCUUCCAACCAAAAAGCUCCGGCUUCUUCCUGUUCUUUACAACAAUACUGGUAUCUCUGCUGCCCAAAUCUUACCUAUACAGUGCGCAAACCAUUCUGGUUAUGAACUCCAAAUCCUACUGGGACCAAAAAUCCAUGGAUUCCUCUUGCUUUCAACCAAAAUGCUCCAGCUUCUUCCUGUUAUUCACAAUACUGAUUUCUCUGCUGCCCAGAUCUUCUUGCCUACAGUUACCGAAAAAGGGUUUCCCCCCGCUUUGUAUUACAAAGCAAUCUUGCCUACAGUUCACAAACCAAUCUGGUGAUGAACACCAAAUCCUCCUGGGACUCGAGAGAUAUUGGGGGAGCUCACCUGUGCUUGGAAGAUGGAGCCUCACUUCUUCUAACCACUGUAAAUGGGGAGGAAUUACAUGCACAGAUGGUUUGGUCACUGCCAUUUCCCUUCCACAGCAAACCUUUAGGAAACCAAUCCCACCGUCCCUUUGCCUCCUCAAGAAUCUUACCAACUUGGACCUCUCCUACAAUAACUUCUCCACUUCAUUCCCUACCAUACUCUACAAUUGCUCCAAUCUGAAGUACCUAGACCUUUCCAACAAUGUCUUUGGUGGGAAACUCGCAGCUGACAUAAACUGUUUAUCAGCAAAGCUCGAGCAUCUCAACUUAUCAAGCAAUCGUAUCAUGGGGGAAAUUCCACCAUCGAUUGGAUGGUUUCCAAAGCUCAAGUCACUGCUCCUCGACACGAAUCAGUUUGACGGAAGUUAUCCAGCAAAGGACAUCAGCAAUCUAGCCAACCUCGAGGUGCUGACACUAGCGGGAAAUCCAUUUCUGCCAGCUCCAUUUCCAGUUGAGUUUGGCAAGUUGACACGCCUCACAUACUUGUGGCUGUCAGGUAUGAACAUGACAGGUGAGAUCCCUGAGCUCAGUCUCUUGAGUGUAUCAAAUAAUAUGCUGCAAGGCACAAUUCCUACAUGGGUAUGGCAGCAUAAGAAGCUUCGGCGCUUGUACAUGUAUACCAACCAUUUCACAGGCGAGAUUUCAUCCUGUGUCAGCGCCGUAAACUUGGUGGAGCUUGAUGUAUCCUCAAACAAUCUAACAGGGACAAUACCAGAUGACUUUGGUAGGCUCAUCAACCUUACCUUGUUGUUUCUCUACACAAAUCAACUUCAUGGGUCAAUAUCGCCAAGCAUCGGGUUGCUGCCGAAUCUCAGAGACAUCCGGCUAUUUGAGAACAUGUUAUCUGGUUCCCUUCCACCAGAGCUUGGUAAGCACUCACCACUAGGUAAUCUUGAGGUCUGCAACAAUAACCUCUCGGGCGAGUUGCCAGCUGAUCUUUGCUCCAACAGGAAGUUAUAUGACAUCGUUGUGUUCAAUAAUAACUUUUCUGGAAAGCUUCCACAAUCGUUAGACGGCUGCUACCGGUUGAACAAUUUAAUGCUGUACAACAAUCAUUUUACUGGAGAGUUCCCCAAGAGCCUCUGGUCAGUGGUGACAAAUGAGCUAACGGUGGUUAUGAUCCAAAAUAACAAUUUCUCUGGCACAUUUCCUACCCAGCUACCAUGGAACUUCACGCGCCUUGACAUAAGUAACAAUAGAUUCUCUGGUCCCAUUCCAACUUUAGCAGGCAAAAUGAAAGUAUUCAGGGCAGCAAACAACUCUCUUUGUGGCGAAAUUCCCUGGGAUUUGAUGGGUAUUUCACAGGUAGGUGAACUUGACCUUUCUGGAAAUCAAAUUAAUGGAUCAAUACCCAUGACAAUUGGAGUGCUAAAGCUCAACGCACUUAAUCUAAGUGGAAAUCAGAUAUCUGGUACUAUACCUGCAGCGUUUGGAUUUAUGUCAGGGUUAACCAUCCUUGACCUCUCCUCAAAUGAGCUAUCUGGCGAGAUCCCAAGAGCGAUCAAUAAGUUGAAACUGAACUUUCUAAACCUCUCCAUGAAUCAACUCACGGGGGAAAUACCAACAUCAUUGCAAAACGAAGCAUAUGAGCGAAGCUUCCUCUUCAAUCCAGGCCUCUGUGUCUCAUCGAAUAAUUCCAUCCCUAAUUUCCCAAUUUGCAGUGCAAGAGCAAACAACAACAAUGAUACCUCCAGGAGGCUUAUAGCCCUCUUUUUUGUUCUUGCCAGUAUCAUGCUUGUGGGUUUGAUAGUUGGUGGUUUCUUGCUACUAAAGAGGCAAAAGAAUACCCAAGAUCCUCUAUCAUGGAAGCUGACCCAGUUUCAUGCACUGCAUUUCACAGAAUAUGAUGUUCUUUCUGGGCUCUGUGAGCAGAACUGGAUUGGAAGUGGCAGGUCUGGCAAGGUGUGCCGAAUUUGUGUUGUGGAUGGAGAAGGUGGUAGUAGAAUGGUGGCUGUUAAAAAGAUAUGGAACGCCCAGAACCUUGGUAACAAGCUCGAGAAGGACUUCCUUGCAGAGGUCCAGAUAUUGGGUGAGAUCUGGCACACAAACAUUGUCAAGCUGCUCUGCUGCAUCUCAAGCUCAGAGGCAAAGCUUCUUGUCUAUGAGUACAUGGAAAAUGGUAGCUUAGACAGGUGGCUGCAUCAGAGGGAUAGAGUUGGUUCACUGGCACCUUUGGAUUGGCCCACCAGAUUGCAAAUUGCCAUCGACUCAGCAAGAGGUCUCUGCUAUAUGCACCAUGAUAGUUCACCCGCCAUAGUGCACUGUGAUGUCAAGUCUGCCAAUAUCCUUCUGGACCCCGAGUUCAGAGCAAAGAUAGCUGACUUCGGCCUUCCUCGGAUUCUUCUCAAAACCGGAGAUCCUGAGUCAAUUUCUGGCAUAGGUGGUACCUUUGGCUACAUGGCACCAGGUAAGAAAUAGAAAUGCAAACUCAAACUAGUAUAUAUUUAGGAUGUACCAUGUGCUAAUCGGAGACUAGCUUUUUUGCAGAGUACGGAUACCGGCUUAAGGUGAAUGGGAAGGUCGAUGUCUACAGCUUCGGAGUGGUCCUGUUGGAGCUCACAACGGGGAGGGUGGCAAAUGAUGGAGGCUUGGAGUACUGCUUGGCAGAAUGGGCAUGGAGACAGUAUCAAGAGUAUGGCCUGUCAAUUGAUCUUCUUGAUGAAGACAUUCGAGAUCCAGCCAACAUUGAAGAUGCAUUCGCAGUGUUUACGCUAGGUGUGAUCUGUACAGGUGGGCAGCCUUCAGUGCGGCCAUCAAUGAAGGAUGUGCUGUACGCUCUUCUCCGGUUUGAACAUAAAUCCAGGGAAAGAAGCCCGCAGCAUGUUGUCUCUGAAGAAACGUCACUUCUAGAAUCCUAGACUAACUGAAGCCGUAGAGGAAUAACGAUGUUCCAGUUGAUGGAGUAUUAUCUAUAGAAUUUCCGGGUGCAAAUGAUGUGUGAUUUUCAGUUUCAUCCUCUUUCACAUGCUAGUUUACCUUAUCCUUUUUGUGUCGACAUAAAGCUUGUGAAGUGUAUAAGUAUUGCAGCCACAAACUGCUGAAAGACGAAUUCCGGGCUAAAUGCUGAAAAUGCAUGCAGUUAUUAUUCUAUAUGCAGACCAAAUAUUAGCUGAAAAUGUACAUAAAUGAUAUGGAUGUUGGACUACAAAAUUACUUGUUUUUUUGGCCUGCGUGUGUGUGUGUGGCGCAUUUAGCUCUUUAGAAGGCUGGUACUGACCAAAGUGGGUGGGAAAUUAGCAUAUUAUCGUGAGAAGAAUAGAUAGGUUAUGCUCUGAUGUGCUAAAGGAACACUUGGCAUUUACAGGGUAAUGUUUAGCCACGACGCUUGCUUACGCAGAACUACUGGUAAAAAACACAACAAAACAUCUGAACUUCUGGCUGCCUCUUGAAAAAAAUAUCAAAAUUCACAAGGUAAACAUAAAUUGCAACUCUUUCUUCAAGAGAGAAACAUAACUGGAACAAGAGCAUGUAUGGAAGAGUCUAGAAUAGAGUAGAAGUGUGUGAAUGUAAUGUAAAUCUGUUUCAAAAAAAACAUAGUAAUUAUAUUCUCCAGUAGAAGAGGUGAACUAAGUUUAAUCAUGAAAUCUUCUAGAUACUACACAUGGCAGGAUCUGUUUCUGAUGUAGUUAAGGCCAACUCCAAUGCACGACCCCAAAUGGUCCAGCCGCAUCCGUUUGGGGGUAAACGGACACAAAUCACGGCCCAACACGCGGGAGCAAACAAUCUUUGGAAGCCUUCAAGGCCCGGCAUAAGAACAACAUUUUUGGUCGCUCAUCAAAGAUUGUCCCAAGUUCAAAGAUCAAUAUGCCGCUCUAAAGAAGAAGGGAGGGACGGCGGCCGUGGCUGCGAAUGGAGAUGUGCUCAAGAGGCCGAGGGGCAAGACCAACUCGAAGCUUGACAAGAAGCGCGAUGCGGCAUCUAUCGCCUUGCAAGAAACUUUGCACUGCAUGAUGACUCAAAAGGAAGUGAGGGAGGAGAGGAAGUGCCAAGGAAAGGAGCUCCAAACGAAGAUAUACUUGGAGCUCCAAACGAAGAAGCUUGACAUGGAGGAGGCCGCCAAGAGGAGGAAGCUCGACAUGAAGGAGGCCAUCCAAUCGAUGAAGCUCGCGAUCGAGGCCACCAAUGCCGACACCAAAGCAAAAGAGGUGGCACUAGCAAUCAUGAGCGUGAACUUGACCAACAUGUCCCUGAAGAGAAGAAUUUGGUUUGCGAACCAGCAAAAGGAGAUGUUCGACCAAGAGGGCCUGAACUAGGGAGGCCUCGGCCGUGGGCUAUGGCCGUUUUUUUUAAGGUUGGCAAGUGUGCUGGCCGCUGGCUAUGUUGCCAACGAGAAAACUUGUUCAUUUUGAAGGCUGGCUAGUGUGCCGGCCGCUGGCUUUGUUGCCGGCGUGAAAACUUGGGGCUUGACCAUUUUGAAGGUUGGCAUAUGUUUGCCAGCCACGGGCUUUGUUGCCGGUAUGAACUCUGGCUGCUGGCAUGAAGUAUGGCCGCUGGCAUGAACUACGGCCGCGGUGGACAAAAAAUUCAUUUGCAAAAGAAUUUAGGCGGCCGGACCAGAUGCGUCCGCGCGUUGGACGCACGACCAGCACAUCCAGGAAAACGGUCGGCCGCCGCUGUCCGUUUGGGGUCGACGGUUGGAGUUGGCCUAAUGUUAAAUUGGACGGCCCACGACACUCAGAUUUGCCGGAUCUUGACCAUCUAUAUAGAUGAUAUACAUAUAGUAAACACAAAGAAAAAGGAAAGCAUCUAAAAUUCUAGCUGCCUUUUGAAAAAAUAUCUACAUAACAUUUUAGCUAGGGUGUUUGCACAUAAAACUAUCGCUCUAGAUCACAACAACGAGUCUGAAUUGACUCUGAACUUUCUUGUGUGAGGAAAAUUGUCUUCGAAUUUCACACAUCACAAUAAUAAAAAAGAGUAUUCAGUAUAUAGACUACUAAAAACUGAACCUCGGUAUGCAUCGGGACAUUUAUUUUUUCUGAAAAGGAGGGUGACCCCCAGGGUAUGCAUCCAACACAAGUGUUUGAUAAUUGGACAGCAUUGCAGCUCAACAAGCGGAGAGUUACAGGGGCUUACUUGCUGAUCUCGUACAGGCUAUAGAAGCGAGGGGCGCAGCUGGGGAGACGGAGGAAAUCCCUUCUCGGUGCGGCGUUGGAACUUGGAAGCGCUAGAAACUGCCGUCGCCAGCGACGAAUGAGUCGGAGGAGAAUCAGGAGAUGGACGCA